GAUUAAGUUAUUAAGGGCGCACGGUGGAUGCCUUGGCACUAGAAGCCGAUGAAGGACGUUACUAACGACGAUAUGCUUUGGGUAGCUGUAAGUAAGCGUUGAUCCAGAGAUUUCCGAAUGGGGGAACCCAGCACAAGUUAUGUUGUGUUAUCGACAAGUGAAUUCAUAGCUUGUCAGAAGGCAGACCCGGAGAACUGAAACAUCUUAGUACCCGGAGGAAGAGAAAGAAAAUUCGAUUCCCUGAGUAGCGGCGAGCGAAACGGGAAGAGCCCAAACCAAUAAGCUUGCUUAUUGGGGUUGUAGGACACUCUAUACGGAGUUACAAAGGAAUAUAUUAAACGAAUCAUCUGGAAAGUUGAAUCAAAGAAGGUAAUAAUCCUGUAGUUGAAAAUAUAUUCUCUCUUGAGUGGAUCCUGAGUACGACGGAGCACGUGAAAUUCCGUCGGAAUCUGGGAGGACCAUCUCCUAAGGCUAAAUACUCUCUAGUGACCGAUAGUGAACCAGUACCGUGAGGGAAAGGUGAAAAGUACCCCGGAAGGGGAGUGAAAGAGAACUUGAAACCGUGUGCUUACAAGUAGUCAGAGCCCGUUAAUGGGUGAUGGCGUGCCUUUUGUAGAAUGAACCGGCGAGUUACGAUCUGAUGCAAGGUUAAGCAGAAAAUGUGGAGCCGUAGCGAAAGCGAGUCUGAAUAGGGCGUAUAGUAUUUGGUCGUAGACCCGAAACCAGGUGAUCUACCCAUGGUCAGGUUGAAGUUCAGGUAACACUGAAUGGAGGACCGAACCGACUUACGUUGAAAAGUGAGCGGAUGAACUGUGGGUAGCGGAGAAAUUCCAAUCGAACUUGGAGAUAGCUGGUUCUCUCCGAAAUAGCUUUAGGGCUAGCCUCAAGUGAUGAUUAUUGGAGGUAGAGCACUGUUUGGACGAGGGGCCCCUCUCGGGUUACCGAAUUCAGACAAACUCCGAAUGCCAAUUAAUUUAACUUGGGAGUCAGAACAUGGGUGAUAAGGUCCGUGUUCGAAAGGGAAACAGCCCAGACCACCAGCUAAGGUCCCAAAAUAUAUGUUAAGUGGAAAAGGAUGUGGCGUUGCCCAGACAACUAGGAUGUUGGCUUAGAAGCAGCCAUCAUUUAAAGAGUGCGUAAUAGCUCACUAGUCGAGUGACACUGCGCCGAAAAUGUACCGGGGCUAAACAUAUUACCGAAGCUGUGGAUUGUCCUUUGGACAAUGGUAGGAGAGCGUUCUAAGGGCGUUGAAGCAUGAUCGCAAGGACAUGUGGAGCGCUUAGAAGUGAGAAUGCCGGUGUGAGUAGCGAAAGACGGGUGAGAAUCCCGUCCACCGAUUGACUAAGGUUUCCAGAGGAAGGCUCGUCCGCUCUGGGUUAGUCGGGUCCUAAGCUGAGGCCGACAGGCGUAGGCGAUGGAUAACAGGUUGAUAUUCCUGUACCACCUAUAAUCGUUUUAAUCGAUGGGGGGACGCAGUAGGAUAGGCGAAGCGUACGAUUGGAUUGUACGUCUAAGCAGUGAGAUUGAGUGUUAGGCAAAUCCGGCACUCUUAAGAUUGAGCUGUGAUGGGGAGAGGAAAUUGUUUCCUCGAGUCGUUGAUUUCACACUGCCGAGAAAAGCCUCUAGAUAGAGAUUAGGUGCCCGUACCGCAAACCGACACAGGUAGUCAAGAUGAGAAUUCUAAGGUGAGCGAGCGAACUCUCGUUAAGGAACUCGGCAAAAUGACCCCGUAACUUCGGGAGAAGGGGUGCUCUUUAGGGUGCAAGCCCAGAAGAGCCGCAGUGAAUAGGCCCAAGCGACUGUUUAUCAAAAACACAGGUCUCUGCUAAACCGUAAGGUGAUGUAUAGGGGCUGACGCCUGCCCGGUGCUGGAAGGUUAAGAGGAGUGGUUAGCUUCUGCGAAGCUACGAAUCGAAGCCCCAGUAAACGGCGGCCGUAACUAUAACGGUCCUAAGGUAGCGAAAUUCCUUGUCGGGUAAGUUCCGACCCGCACGAAAGGCGUAACGAUUUGG
rnacentral:rRNA from 2 species